UUGAACGCUGGCGGCAGGCCUAACACAUGCAAGUCGCGCGGAUGAAGGGAGCUUGCUCCUGGAUUCAGCGGCGGACGGGUGAGUAAUGCCUAGGAAUCUGCCUGGUAGUGGGGGAUAACGUCCGGAAACGGGCGCUAAUACCGCAUACGUCCUGAGGGAGAAAGUGGGGGAUCUUCGGACCUCACGCUAUCAGAUGAGCCUAGGUCGGAUUAGCUAGUUGGUGGGGUAAAGGCCUACCAAGGCGACGAUCCGUAACUGGUCUGAGAGGAUGAUCAGUCACACUGGAACUGAGACACGGUCCAGACUCCUACGGGAGGCAGCAGUGGGGAAUAUUGGACAAUGGGCGAAAGCCUGAUCCAGCCAUGCCGCGUGUGUGAGGAAGGUCUUCGGAUUGUAAAGCACUUUAAGUUGGGAGGAAGGGCAGUAAGUUAAUACCUUGCUGUUUUGACGUUACCAACAGAAUAAGCACCGGCUAACUUCGUG
rnacentral:rRNA from 1 species